rfam:Pteropus alecto contig89036, whole genome shotgun sequence.
AUCUACGGCCAUGCCACUCCGAACAAGCCAGGUGUCUGAUCUCAGAAGCUAAGCAGGGUCAUGCCUGGUUAGUACUUGGAUGGGAGACCACCUUGGAAGACCAGGUGCUGUAGGCA